rnacentral:rRNA from 1 species
AGAGUUUGAUCCUGGCUCAGAAUCAACGCUGGCGGCGUGCCUAACACAUGCAAGUCGAACGAGAAAGAGGGGGCAACCCCUUGAGUAAAGUGGCGACCGGGUGAGUAACACGUGACUAACCUACCCUUGAGUGGGGAAUAACCUUCCGAAAGGAGGGCUAAUACCGCAUAACAUCGCGAGGUGAGAUUCCUUGUGAUCAAGGAGCAAUUCGCUUAAGGAGGGGGUCGCGGCUGAUUAGCUAGUUGGUGAGGUAACGGCUCACCAAGGCGAUGAUCAGUAUCCGGCCUGAGAGGGCGCACGGACACACUGGAACUGAAACACGGUCCAGACUCCUACGGGAGGCAGCAGUGGGGAAUUUUGCGCAAUGGGGGAAACCCUGACGCAGCAACGCCGCGUGGAGGAUGAAGGUCUUUGGAUUGUAAACUCCUUUCGAUCGGGACGAUUAUGACGGUACCGGAAGAAGAAGCACCGGCUAACUCUGUGCCAGCAGCCGCGGUAAU